rnacentral:rRNA from 1 species
AACGAACGCUGGCGGCGUGCCUAACACAUGCAAGUCGAACGAGAAAGGGGCUUCGGCUCCGAGUAAAGUGGCGCACGGGUGAGUAACACGUGGGUAACCUGCCCCUAAGAUUGGGAUAACUCGUCGAAAGAUGAGCUAAUACCGAAUAAGACCACAGUUCCCGCGGGAACAGGGGUCAAAGGUAGCCUCUGCUUGCAAGCUAUCACUUAGAGAUGGGCCUGCGCACCAUUAGCUAGUUGGUAGGGUAACGGCCUACCAAGGCAAAGAUGGUUAGCUGGUCUGAGAGGAUGAUCAGCCACACUGGAACUGAGACACGGUCCAGACUCCUACGGGAGGCAGCAGUGGGGAAUAUUGCGCAAUGGGCGAAAGCUUGACGCAGCAACGCCGCGUGAGUGAUGAAGGCCUUCGGGUCGUAAAGCUCUGUCGGGAGGAACGAAUGCUCCUGAGGUUAACAGCCUCGGGAGGUGACGGUACCUUCAAAGGAAGCACCGGCUAACUCUGUG